rnacentral:rRNA from 1 species
AGCAGCCGCGGUAAUUCCAGCUCCAAUAGCGUAUAUUAAAGUUGUUGCAGUUAAAAAGCUCGUAGUUGAAUUUUAGUCCUGGCCGGGCGGUCCGUCUUUGGCGAGUACUGUCCUGUGUCGGGUCUUCCUUCUGGUGAACCAGUAUGUCCUUUAUUGGGUGUGCCGGGGAGCCAGGACCAUUACCUUGAAAAAAUUGAGUGUUUAAAGCGGGCAUUUGCUUGAAUAGAUUAGCAUGGAAUAAUAGAAUAGGACGUUGUGGUUCUAUUUUGUUGGUUUCUAGGACCACCGUAAUGAUUAAUAGGGAUAGUUGGGGGCAUUAGUAUUCAAUUGUCAGAGGUGAAAUUCUUGGAUUUAUUGAAGACUAACUACUGCGAAAGCAUUUGCCAAGGAUGUUUUCAUUAAUCAAGAACGAAGUUAGGGGAUCGAAGACGAUCAGAUACCGUCGUAGUCUUAACCAUAAACCUAUGCCGACUAGGGAAUCGGGCGACGUUAUUUUCAUGACUUCGCUCGGCGCCUUAUG